rnacentral:tRNA from 1 species
GAAGGUAGAGCUCAAGUGGUAGAGCGCGUGCUUAGCACACACAAGGUCCUGGGUUCAAUCCCCAGUGCCUCCU